GGGAGUGACUUGGCUUCGACAGGAGCAGGUUGGUCUUGACUGCAUACCGCUUUGAACAUAGCGUAAAAAGUUCAUAAAAUUUAGACGCAAAUAACAAAAAUUACGCUCCUGCUUACGCAAAAAUCGCGUAAGUUUUAAUUUAGGAGGCUUCGCGCCGCCGACGCUAUCUAGGCGGAUUUCGCGAGGCUCACCGAUAGAUAGCUUAAGUAUAACGUCUAACCAUCGUUAUGCUGACAUUUUGGUUUGCACUUUUGUGUAGUUUUCGCGGAUUGAGCGAAACAAAAGCAAAGAUUUAUCAAUCCUUCUAAGUAUGUAGAUGUUAGGAUGGGCUUGUUUUUGGACAGGGGUUCAAUUCCCCUCACUUCCACCA
rnacentral:tmRNA from 1 species